CAAGAAGAACUAGAUCGUCUUCAUACGGACAAUGCCCUAGCCUUCCGGAAAGACCAGAGAUCGCUUUACUUCAAAGACACCAACGGAUGGCUGCCCAUUCAGCUGACGCCUUUCCAGUCUACGGAGAAUGCUCCGGAACAGGAGGGUUACUGUGGCGACGGGAUCGUUCAGAUUCCCAACGGGGAGGAAUGUGACGACGGGAAUAGGAUUGUCACCGACGGCUGCGUCAAGUGUAAACAUGCUUACUGUGGAGAUGGUUAUCGCUAUGACGGUGCCGAGGAAUGUGAUGGAAAGGACUUUGGCUAUCAGACAUGCAACUCAUAUCUCCCAGGGUCUUAUGGUCGUCUCAGAUGCACUCCGUACUGUGUCAUUGACUCUACAAACUGCAAGUAUUUUACAUGAGGAGGAACCUGGACACAGCAGUGGGAUGCUUCUUGUCUUGU